AAAAGUUAUGUAAGGGCGUAUGGGGGAUGCCUAGGCUCUCAGAGGCGAAGAAGGACGUGAUAAGCUGCGAAAAGUUGCGGGGAUUGGCACAUACGAAUUGAUCCGCAAAUAUCCGAAUGGGGCAACCCAGUACAUUGAAGAUGUACUACACCGCAAAGGUGGGCAAACCUGCUGAACUGAAACAUCUUAGUAGGCAGAGGAGAAGAAAACAAAAGUGAUUCCCAGAGUAGUGGCGAGCGAAAUGGGAGCAGCCCAAACCCAUAUUGUUACGGCAAUAUGGGGGUAGUAGGACCCAGAUAUAGGUUGUAAAGCUGGAUUAGAAGUGUUUGGAAAGACACACCAUAGAGAGUGAAAGUCUCGUAUAGGCACAGUUUUAUAAAUCUUAUGGGUAUCCUGAGUAGGUCGGGGCACGUGGAACCUUGACUGAAUCCGCCGGGACCAUCCGGUAAGGCUAAAUACUCCUGAGAGACCGAUAGUGAACCAGUACCGUGAGGGAAAGGUGAAAAGAACCGUGAAUAACGGAGUGAAAUAGACCCUGAAACCAUACGCUUACAAGCGGUCGGAGCAGCGUCAGCUGUGACGGCGUGCCUUUUGCAUAAUGAGCCUACGAGUUACUGUUACCAGCGAGGAUAAGUAUUUCAGAUACGAAUCCGCAUCGAAAGAGAGUCUGAAAAGGGCGCAAAUAGUUGGUAGUAGUAGACGCGAAACCUGGUGAUCUACCCUUGGGCAGGUUGAAGCGCUGGUAACACAGCGUGGAGGACCGAACUGGUUGUCGUUGAAAAGACUUCGGAUGACCUGAGGGUAGGGGUGAAAGGCCAAUCAAACUGGGAAAUAGCUCGUACUCCCCGAAAUGCAUUUAGGUGCAGCGUUGAUGCGAGUUUAAUAGAGGUAGAGCUACUGAUUGGAUGCGGGGGUUUCAUCGCCUACCAAUUCCUGACAAACUCCGAAUGCUAUUAAAUGCUCAUCAGCAGUGAGGGUAUGGGUGCUAAGGUCCAUAUCCGAGAGGGAAAGAACCCGGACCAUCAGCUAAGGUCCCCAAAUAUAUGCUAAGUUGACCAAACGCGGUCUGACUGCACUGACAGCUAGGAUGUUGGCUUGGAAGCAGCCAUACAUUUAAAGAGUGCGUAACAGCUCACUAGUCGAGCGGUUCGGCAUGGAGAAUAAACGGGCAUAAGCAUAUUACCGAAGCUAUGGGGUAGAGAUACCGGUAGGGGAGCAUUCUAUAGGCGUUGAAGCUAAAGGCGUGAGCCAUAGUGGAGCUUGAUAGAAAAGAAAAUGUAGGCAUAAGUAACGAUAAGGCAGGUGAGAAACCUGCCCGCCGAAAGAUCAAGGUUUCCUCAGCUAUGCUAAUCAGCUGAGGGUUAGUCGGGGACUAACGCGAACCCGAGUAGGGGUAGUGGAUGUACAAUAGGUUAAUAUUCCUAUACCAUUAGUCUGUUAAAAGUGACGGAAUGAGAUAACUACCGCGUACUGACGGAAUAGUACGUUUAAGGAGUUGUUAUGACUUCGAAAGUACACUGAGGCUUCGGCCGAGGUGAGUGUGGUGACAACGUUUCCAAGAAAAGCGAAGGCUAAUGCCCGUACCGUAAACCGACACAGGUGAUUGGGAUGAGAAUUCUAAGGCGCUCGAGAGAUUCAUGGCUAAGGAACUAGGCAAAAUAGACCUGUAACUUCGGGAGAAAGGUCGCCUAUCGUAAGAUAGGCCGCAGUGAAAAGGUCCAAGCGACUGUUUAUCAAAAACACAGGACUCUGCAAAAUCGAAAGAUGAGGUAUAGGGUCUGACACCUGCCCGGUGCUGGAAGGUUAAGAGGAGAGCUUAGCAGCAAUGCGAAGGUUUGAAUUGAAGCCCCAGUAAACGGCGGCCGUAACUAUAACGGUCCUAAGGUAGCGAAAUUCCUUGUCGGGUAAGUUCCGACCCGCACGAAAGGCGUAACGAUUUGGGCACUGUCUCAACGAUGGACUCGGUGAAAUCAUAGUACCUGUGAAGAUGCAGGUUACCCGCGACAGGACGGAAAGACCCCAUGGAGCUUUACUGUAGUUUGAUAUUGAGUGUUUGUGUCACAUGUACAGGAUAGGUAGGAGCUGAAGAAUCCGGGACGCCAGUUUCGGAGGAGGCAACGGUGGGAUACUACCCUUGUGACAUGACCACUCUAACCCGCACCCCUUACCGGGGUGGGAGACAGUGUCAGACGGGCAGUUUGACUGGGGCGGUCGCCUCCUAAAGUGUAACGGAGGCGCCCAAAGGUUCCCUCAGAAUGGUUGGAAAUCAUUCGAAGAGUGUAAAGGCAGAAGGGAGCUUGACUGCGAGACCUACAAGUCGAGCAGGGACGAAAGUCGGGCUUAGUGAUCCGGUGGUUCCGUAUGGAAGGGC
rnacentral:rRNA from 1 species